AGGAAUAUUGGUCAAUGGGCGAGAGCCUGAACCAGCCAAGUCGCGUGAGGGAGUACUGCCCUAUGGGUUGUAAACCUCUUUUGUCGGGGAGCAAAAGCCGGACGUGUCCGGCUGUGAGAGUACCCGAAGAAAAAGCAUCGGCUAACUCCGUGCCAGCAGCCGCGGUAAUACGGAGGAUGCGAGCGUUAUCCGGAUUUAUUGGGUUUAAAGGGUGCGCAGGCGGAUUUUUAAGUCAGCGGUCAAAUCGUGGGGCUCAACCCCAUCCAGCCGUUGAAACUGGGGAUCUAGAGUGUGCGAGAGGUAUGCGGAAUGCGUGGUGUAGCGGUGAAAUGCAUAGAUAUCACGCAGAACCCCGAUUGCGAAGGCAGCAUACCGGUGCACAACUGACGCUCAGGCACGAAAGCGUGGGUAUCGAACA
rnacentral:rRNA from 1 species